AUGGCUUCCGCCGUCGCUUGUAAGGGUGCCGCGCCAGCCAGCCUCCUCAAGUCCGGUGCUCCUGUGGCCUUCUGCGCGCUCCAUUCUCCCGCCGACCGCCGCCCGUACAACACCCAGGUCAAGGAGGUCGGCCGCUACGACGACGACGACUACAGCGGCCGCGACCUCGUCAUCCCCAGCUUCUUCUCGCAGGACGUGCUCGACCCGCACAGCGCGCCGACCAGCAUGGCCCGUCUGCUGUCUCUGAUGGAGACCGGCCUCUCCUCCAUUGCUGGAGCGUCGCGGCUCGGACGGUGGGUGGCGAAGGAGGACGCACUUGUCGCGUCAGUGGCUCCACGCUUCUUCUUGCAUAAACUAGUUAGUGCUUUCGUUAUUACUUUUCGAACAUGA
rnacentral:rRNA from 1 species